rnacentral:rRNA from 1 species
UACGUAGGGUGCAAGCGUUAAUCGGAAUUACUGGGCGUAAAGCGUGCGUAGGCGGCCAACUAAGUCGGAUGUGAAAUCCCCAGGCUUAACCUGGGAACUGCAUCCGAUACUGGAUGGCUUGGAUUCGGGAGAGGAAUGCGGAAUUCCAGGUGUAGCGGUGAAAUGCGUAGAUAUCUGGAGGAACACCGGUGGCGAAGGCGGCAUUCUGGACCGAUAUUGACGCUGAGGAGCGAAAGCCAGGGGAGCAAACGGG